GACGAACGCUGGCGGCGUGCUUAACACAUGCAAGUCGAGCGGUAAGGCCUUUCGGGGUCCCCGAGCGGCGAACGGGUGAGUAACACGUGGGUGAUCUGCCCUGCACUUCGGGAUAAGCCUGGGAAACUGGGUCUAAUACCGGAUAUGACCUCCUAUCGCAUGGUGGGUGGUGGAAAGAUUUAUCGGUGCAAGAUGGGCCCGCGGCCUAUCAGCUUGUUGGUGGGGUAAUGGCCUACCAAGGCGACGACGGGUAGCCGACCUGAGAGGGUGACCGGCCACACGAGGACUGAGAGACGGCGCAGACUGCUACGGGAGGCAGCAGUGGGGAAUAUUGCACAAUGGGCGAAAGCCUGAGGAAGAGACGCCGCGGGAGGGAUGACGGCCUUCGGGUUGUAAACCUCUUUCAGCAGGGACGAAGCGCAAGUGACGGUACCUGCAGAAGAAGCACCGGCUAACUACGUG
rnacentral:rRNA from 1 species